GACAAACGCUGGCGGCGUGCCUAAUACAUGCAAGUAGAACGCUGAAGGAGGAGCUUGCUCUUCUGGAUGAGUUGCGAACGGGUGAGUAACGCGUAGGUAACCUGCCUGGUAGCGGGGGAUAACUAUUGGAAACGAUAGCUAAUACCGCAUAAGAGUAGAUGUUGCAUGACAUUUGCUUAAAAGGUGCAAUUGCAUCACUACCAGAUGGACCUGCGUUGUAUUAGCUAGUUGGUGGGGUAACGGCUCACCAAGGCGACGAUACAUAGCCGACCUGAGAGGGUGAUCGGCCACACUGGGACUGAGACACGGCCCAGACUCCUACGGGAGGCAGCAGUAGGGAAUCUUCGGCAAUGGACGGAAGUCUGACCGAGCAACGCCGCGUGAGUGAAGAAGGUUUUCGGAUCGUAAAGCUCUGUUGUAAGAGAAGAACGAGUGUGAGAGUGGAAAGUUCACACUGUGACGGUAUCUGACCAGAAAGGGACGGCUAACUACGUG
rnacentral:rRNA from 1 species